rnacentral:rRNA from 1 species
GGAGGAAUAUUGGUCAAUGGGGCGAGAGCCUGAACCAGCCAAGUAGCGUGCAGGAUGACGGCCCUAUGGGUUGUAAACUGCUUUUAUAAGGGAAUAAAGUGGGGCUCGUGAGCUCUUUUGCAUGUACCUUAUGAAUAAGGACCGGCUAAUUCCGUGCCAGCAGCCGCGGUAAUACGGAAGGUCCGGGCGUUAUCCGGAUUUAUUGGGUUUAAAGGGAGCGUAGGCCGCAGGUUAAGCGUGUUGUGAAAUGUAGACGCUCAACGUCUGCACUGCAGCGCGAACUGGUUUCCUUGAGUACGCACAAAGUGGGCGGAAUUCGUGGUGUAGCGGUGAAAUGCUUAGAUAUCACGAAGAACUCCGAUUGCGAAGGCAGCUCACUGGAGCGCAACUGACGCUGAAGCUCGAAAGUGCGGGUAUCGAACAGGAUUAGAUACCCUGGUAGU